UCUGGACAUUAUAGAAGGUAACGCCUGCCCAGUGACUAUAUGUUAAACGGCCGCGGUAUACUGACCGUGCAAAGGUAGCGUAAUCACUUGUCUUUUAAAUGGAGACUAGUAUGAACGGCAUCACGAGAACUAAUCUGUCUCCCUCCCCCAAUCAGUGAAACUGAUCUCCCCGUGCAGAAGCGGGGAUAAUAUCAUAAGACGAGAAGACCCUGUGGAGCUUAAAAUCAAAAAUCAACUGCUUUAUUCACCUUUACUAAAAGAGACAUUUUCGCAGACCUGACCUAGAUUUUCAGCUGGGGCGGCUGUGGAGAAAAAUAAACCCUCCACGAAUAUUUAUGCUGAAAGCCACCGCUACAGGCAUUAACUAGCUUAACUUUAAUUGACCCAAUUUUUGAUCAACGGACCA
rnacentral:rRNA from 1 species